AACGAACGCUGGCGGCAGGCCUAACACAUGCAAGUCGAGCGCGCCCUUCGGGGUGAGCGGCGGACGGGUGAGUAACGCGUGGGAACGUGCCCUUUUCUACGGAAUAGUCUCGGGAAACUGGGGGUAAUACCGUAUACGCCCUUCGGGGGAAAGAUUUAUCGGAGAAGGAUCGGCCCGCGUUGGAUUAGGUAGUUGGUGGGGUAAUGGCCUACCAAGCCGACGAUCCAUAGCUGGUUUGAGAGGAUGAUCAGCCACACUGGGACUGAGACACGGCCCAGACUCCUACGGGAGGCAGCAGUGGGGAAUCUUAGACAAUGGGCGCAAGCCUGAUCUAGCCAUGCCGCGUGAGCGAUGAAGGCCUUAGGGUUGUAAAGCUCUUUCAGGGGGGAAGAUAAUGACUGUACCCCCAGAAGAAGCCCCGGCUAACUCCGUG
rnacentral:rRNA from 1 species